rnacentral:lncRNA from 10 species
UCUUCCCUCCGUGAGCGCUGGCCUGGGGGAACCAAGGCCCCCUGAUGUUGAGGACAUGUCAUCCAGUGACAGUGACUCGGACUGGGAUGGAGGCAGCCGUCUUUCACCAUUUCUACCCCACGACCACCUCGGCUUGGCUGUCUUCUCCAUGCUGUGUUGUUUCUGGCCCGUUGGCAUCGCUGCCUUCUGUCUAGCCCAGAAGCAUCCCCAGUGCCUGACCUAUAGUAGGUGCUACGUAUCUGCUUUUGGAAUACAUGCAUGAAUGAAUGAAUGGACCCGCCCUAGUUGCCCCUACAGCCCUCACUGUGAACCCUGAGGCCGGCAGCCCAGCAAAUCUGUGGGCAGAGAGUGGAGAAUCUUGGUGGAUGAGGCUGCGGCGGCGGCAGGAGCAUCUAGAAACGGGAGCGAGCUGGACUGGAACCCUUCCCCUUCCUGGCCACCGCUCUUCGGGCGGCAGCAACCUGAGAUUAAACACCAGACACCCUUGCA